rnacentral:ncRNA from 1 species
AAAAAAAGUUAAUUCUAGCUUAAGAAUUUAUGGGUUUUUGUAUGUAUAUAUUAGUAAUUAAAUGAAUUUUAGUUUAAUUUAAAUACUUGACUAAUUUAAGCUAUAAGUAAUAUAUGAUAUUAAAUAUUUAGGAAACUAAGAUUUAGGGAUAACUCUUUUAUUAACAAAAAUUGUGCCAGCAGUUGCGGUUAUACAAUUAAUAUUAAAAAUUUAAAUUGAUUUGAAAAUAAAAAAUAUAUAAAAAUUAUAAAAAAUAUGUUUUUAUUAAGUGAAAUUUUUAAGAAUAUAAUACUUUAAUUUUAUAAAAUUUUUAUCUUUUACAAUUUUGGUCUUAAAAUAGGAUUAGAUACCCUAUUAUUCAAAAUUAAAUUAUGAUUAAAUAAGUAGACUUAAUAAAGUUAAAAUUUAAAGAAUAUGGCGGUAUUUUAUUCAAGUUAGAGGAACCUGUUUUUUGAUAAUCCACGAUUAAUUUUACUUAAUUUAAUUUAAUUUGUAUAUCGUCGUUAUAAAAGUUUUUUAUAAGAAUUUAAAAAAUUUUUUAAUUAUAAUUUUAUUUAAAUCAGAUCAAGAUAUAGUUUAUAAUUAAGAAUAUAAUGGGUUAUAAUAAAUUUAUUUUUAGAUGUUUGGGUGAAAUCUCAAAUUGAAAUUAGAUUUAAAUGUAAUUAAUUUUAAUUAAUAUUAAUGAUUAUAUGUUUUAUAAUAUGUACAUAUUGCCCGUCGCUCUCAUUAUAAGUUGAGAUAAGUCGUAACAUAGUAGAUGUACUGGAAAGUGUUUCUAGAA